GUUUAAUUUCUCACUGAAAACAUGAGUUCUAUUGGAACAGGGUUUUGCUAUUAGAGGUGAAAAGUUCUCUUAAAAAUUCGAAGUGAUUUUAAUUUAGACCGCAAAUUUGCUGGAGUUUCAUUUUAUCAUUCCGUCACUUACAAAUACAAGUGACAUAGUGAAGACCAAGGAUAUUAUUUAUAUCGGAAGGAGCAUACCCUUGGACCCCCUGAGAUGCGCGGCCUUCAGCCACGCAAUCAGGCAUCCCCGAAUUAUGAUCUGUCAGCAUCACAGUUCUCCCCUGAUGGCAGAGUGUUCCAGGUUGAAUAUGCUAUGAAGGCAGUAGAAAAUAGUGGGACUGCUGUGGGCAUCAGGGGUAAAGAUGGGAUUGUGUUUGCAGUAGAGAAACUGGUGACAUCUAAACUCUAUGAGCCUGGCUCCAACAAAAGAAUAUUCCACAUAGACAGACACGUAGGCAUGGCAGUAGCUGGCUUGCUAGCAGAUGCCAAGGCUCUGGUAGAAGUUGCACGUGAUGAAGCAUCAAACUACAGAUCUCAGUUUGGCAACCCCAUUCCAAUCAAACAUUUAGCCGAUAGAUUAUCCAACUAUAUCCAUGCACACACAUUGUACAGUAUGGUUCGACCAUUUGGUGUUAGUGUGUUAUUAUCUUGCUACGAGCCUACUGAUGGUCCACAGAUGUAUGUCAUUGACCCCUCAGGCACCUCACAUGGUUAUUGGGGAUGUGCUAUCGGUAAAGCUAAACAAAAUGGUAAAACAGAAAUUGAAAAAAUAAAGAUGAAAGAUAUGACAUGUAGAGAGCUUAUAAAAGAAGCUGCUAAAAUUAUCUAUGUUGUCCAUGAUGAAGUAAAGGAUAAGAACUUUGAGCUGGAGCUGAGCUGGGUAGGAGAAGUAUCCAAUGGUAAACAUGAGUUAGUUCCCAAAGAGGUAUUUGCAGAGGCAGAAAAAUAUGCCAAGGACUCGCUAGAAGAAUCUGAUGACUCUGAAGAUGAAGAUAUGUAGGAAUUAACCUUUUCAAUGCCAAGAACAUUAAAUGGACAUUAACUCUUGGAUAAUAUGGAAAACAUCAGUAGUAACUCAUGUUCCCAGGUAUGAGGUGGUUCAGAGUUUUUAAAAAUGACAUUACUACUGGACACUAUGAAUUAGGAGCAUAGAUGUUUGCCAGAUUUUGUUUACCCUUGGUUUUUACUAAAUAUCCUGAUAUGGCUUACCAAUAGUGUGAGUUACUUCUUUAAAGAUAAUAAAAUGUGUUGCAAUUUGCAUGUUCCUCAUAUUAUAUUUUAAGACAAACUAGUUGUGAAAUGGAAAGGUAAAACCGAACAGAAUUUCAACAGCUGGAAUUUGUCAAGUAACUGAGCCAAAUACUUGUAAUAUUUAUGUGCUGAAGUAAUAUGGAUGAAAUAAACUUUUUAUAUUGAUAAAGAAAAA
rnacentral:misc_RNA from 1 species